rnacentral:misc_RNA from 1 species
CCACCGCCACUGCUUCUGCUAGCUCCACACUUUAGCUUUUCUCUCUCUGCCAUGGCUGUCUCUCUGCAACUCUGCCGCGUCUCCCUCCGUAGCGAACUCUUCUCCCGUGAGAAUCUUGCUCCUCUUAAUCGCAGGAGGUUUCUAUCUGUUCGAUGCGCUGCUGGUGGCGAUGAGUCAUCUGCUGGUUCUGUCGCUGUGGAAUCCGAUUUUGACGCUAAGGUUUUUAGACAUAACUUGACGCGAAGCAAGAAUUAUAAUCGGAGAGGUUUUGGACACAAGGAAGAGACUCUUGAGCUCAUGAACCAAGAGUAUACCAGUGAUAUCAUAAAGACUUUGAAGGAAAAUGGCAAUCAGUACACAUGGGGAAAUGUUACCAUUAAACUGGCAGAAGCUUAUGGGUUUUGCUGGGGAGUUGAGCGGGCUGUCCAGAUUGCUUAUGAAGCCCGGAAACAGUUUCCUGACGAGAAGAUUUGGAUUACCAAUGAGAUUAUUCACAACCCAACUGUUAAUAAGCGUUUAGAAGAGAUGAAUGUCCAAAAUAUUCCUGUUGGCGAAGGAAAGAAACACUUUGAAGUUGUGGACAGUGGUGAUGUUGUGAUUUUGCCUGCUUUUGGGGCUGCUGUGGAGGAGAUGUUGACCUUGAGCAACAAAAAUGUGCAAAUUGUUGACACAACUUGCCCUUGGGUAUCCAAGGUUUGGAAUACUGUUGAGAAGCACAAGAAGGGAGACUACACUUCAAUCAUUCAUGGUAAAUAUUCUCACGAGGAAACCAUAGCUACUGCCUCGUUUGCUGGAAAGUAUAUCAUUGUGAAGGAUAUGAAAGAGGCAAUGUAUGUGUGUGACUACAUUCUUGGUGGUCAACUUAAAGGAUCUAGCUCUACAAAAGAGGCAUUUCUAGAGAAAUUUAA